GGAGUCUGGGCCGUAUCUCAGUCCCAAUGUGGCCGUUCAACCUCUCAGUCCGGCUACUGAUCGUCGCCUUGGUAGGCCGUUACCCCACCAACUAGCUAAUCAGACGUGAGCCCAUCCUUCAGCGAUAAAUCUUUGGUAUCCAGCCGAUGCCGACCGGAUACAUUAUGCGGUAUUAGCAGUCGUUUCCAACUGUUGUCCCCCUCUGAAGGGCAGGUUGCUCACGCAUUACUCACCCGUCCGCCACUAAGUCAAAUCCAAUCCUUGACGAAUCUCAGAUCGAAAGUGCUUCGUUCGACUUGCAUGUGUUAGGCACGCCGCCAGCGUGUCCUGAGCACGGAUCAAACUACU
rnacentral:rRNA from 1 species